GCCUGGGUGGCUCAGUUGGUUAAGCAUCUGACUUCAGCUCAGGACAUGAUCUCAUGGUUCACGGGUUCGAGCCCUGUGUUGGGCU
rnacentral:tRNA from 1 species